rnacentral:rRNA from 1 species
UACACACCGCCCGUCACACCAUGGGAGUGGGUUUCACCAGAAGCCGGUCGCCUAACCGCAAGGAGGGCGCCGACCACGGUGAGAUUCAUGACUGGGGUGAAGUCGUAACAAGGUACCC